rnacentral:rRNA from 1 species
UACGUAGGGGGCAAGCGUUGUCCGGAUUGACUGGGCGUAAAGCGCACGCAGGCGGUUGCGCGCGUGGGGGGUGAAAUCUGGCCGCUUAACGGCCAGGCGCCAUCCCAUACGGCGCGACUGGAGGCUUGCAGAGGCCGGUGGAAUUCCGGGUGUAGUGGUGAAAUGCGUAGAGAUCCGGAGGAACACCAGAGGCGAAGGCGGCCGGCUGGACCUGACCUGACGCUGAGGCACGAAGGCGUGGGGAGCGAACGGG